AUUGAACGCUGGCGGCAUGCCUUACACAUGCAAGUCGGACGGCAGCACGGAGCUUGCUCUGGUGGCGAGUGGCGAACGGGUGAGUAAUAUAUCGGAACGUACCCUGGAGUGGGGGAUAACGUAGCGAAAGUUACGCUAAUACCGCAUACGAUCUGAGGAUGAAAGUGGGGGAUCGCAAGACCUCAUGCUCGUGGAGCGGCCGAUAUCUGAUUAGCUAGUUGGUAGGGUAAAAGCCUACCAAGGCAUCGAUCAGUAGCUGGUCUGAGAGGACGACCAGCCACACUGGAACUGAGACACGGUCCAGACUCCUACGGGAGGCAGCAGUGGGGAAUUUUGGACAAUGGGCGAAAGCCUGAUCCAGCAAUGCCGCGUGAGUGAGGAAGGCCUUCGGGUUGUAAAGCUCUUUUGUCAGGGAAGAAACGGUGAGAGCUAAUAUCUCUUGCUAAUGACGGUACCUGAAGAAUAAGCACCGGCUAACUACGUGCCAGCAGCCGCGGUAAUACGUAGGGUGCAAGCGUUAAUCGGAAUUACUGGGCGUAAAGCGUGCGCAGGCGGUUUUGUAAGUCUGAUGUGAAAUCCCCGGGCUCAACCUGGGAAUUGCAUUGGAGACUGCAAGGCUAGAAUCUGGCAGAGGGGGGUAGAAUUCCACGUGUAGCAGUGAAAUGCGUAGAUAUGUGGAGGAACACCGAUGGCGAAGGCAGCCCCCUGGGUCAAGAUUGACGCUCAUGCACGAAAGCGUGGGGAGCAAACAGGAUUAGAUACCCUGGUAGUCCACGCCCUAAACGAUGUCUACUAGUUGUCGGGUCUUAAUUGACUUGGUAACGCAGCUAACGCGUGAAGUAGACCGCCUGGGGAGUACGGUCGCAAGAUUAAAACUCAAAGGAAUUGACGGGGACCCGCACAAGCGGUGGAUGAUGUGGAUUAAUUCGAUGCAACGCGAAAAACCUUACCUACCCUUGACAUGGCUGGAAUCCUCGAGAGAUUGAGGAGUGCUCGAAAGAGAACCAGUACACAGGUGCUGCAUGGCUGUCGUCAGCUCGUGUCGUGAGAUGUUGGGUUAAGUCCCGCAACGAGCGCAACCCUUGUCAUUAGUUGCUACGAAAGGGCACUCUAAUGAGACUGCCGGUGACAAACCGGAGGAAGGUGGGGAUGACGUCAAGUCCUCAUGGCCCUUAUGGGUAGGGCUUCACACGUCAUACAAUGGUACAUACAGAGCGCCGCCAACCCGCGAGGGGGAGCUAAUCGCAGAAAGUGUAUCGUAGUCCGGAUUGUAGUCUGCAACUCGACUGCAUGAAGUUGGAAUCGCUAGUAAUCGCGGAUCAGCAUGUCGCGGUGAAUACGUUCCCGGGUCU
rnacentral:rRNA from 1 species